rnacentral:lncRNA from 1 species
ACUUCAAUAUGCCUCGACCACCAAGUGAAACAAGGGGGGGAGCACCUGCAAAAAGCACUCCGACGCUCAAGUCAGCUAAAGAGAAUUAUUUGAAGAGUUAUUUUAGCUUAGAACGAUGAUCUACCUUUUCAAUUUCAGCUGUUUCCUUUAUAACUCGGAGAUGAUGGCCGUUUAUUGACCGUUUCUGUGUAACCGAUCAUAGUGGUUUAAUGCCAUAAAGUCGGCAAAGUUAAUGUGCCGAUUAAAAAGGGAUUCGCCGAGCUAUAAUUCGUAACCGACGUAUAACGGUUGUAUCACAGCCCCCAAGCUUAGCCUGUGUUUUAAAUGAGGCAGGUUGAGCUUUUGAAAUUAAAUGGCCGAAUUAUAGCUCGGCGCAGGGAUGGAGCCCCC